GACGAACGCUGGCGGCGUGCUUAACACAUGCAAGUCGAACGGAAAGGCCCUGCUUUUGUGGGGUGCUCGAGUGGCGAACGGGUGAGUAACACGUGAGUAACCUGCCCUUGACUUUGGGAUAACUUCAGGAAACUGGGGCUAAUACCGGAUAGGAGCUCCUGCUGCAUGGUGGGGGUUGGAAAGUUUCGGCGGUUGGGGAUGGACUCGCGGCUUAUCAGCUUGUUGGUGGGGUAGUGGCUUACCAAGGCUUUGACGGGUAGCCGGCCUGAGAGGGUGACCGGCCACAUUGGGACGGAGAUACGGCCCAGACUCCUACGGGGGGCAGCAGUGGGGAAUAUUGCACAAUGGGCGGAAGCCUGAUGCAGCAACGCCGCGUGCGGGAUGACGGCCUUCGGGUUGUAAACCGCUUUCGCCUGUGACGAAGCGUGAGUGACGGUAAUGGGUAAAGAAGCACCGGCUAACUACGUG
rnacentral:rRNA from 1 species